UUCUUUUGUUUUUAUAAAAGAUUUAACCUGCUCUAUGAUGAAUUUAAAUGGCUGCAGUAUUUUGACUGUACAAAGGUAGCAUAAUCAUUUGUCUUUUAAUUGAAGGCUAGUAUGAAUGGUUGGACGAAAAAUAUACUUUCUUUAUUUUAUAUAAAUUAAUUAAUUUUUUAGUUAAAAAGCUAAGAUUUUUUUAUAGGACGAGAAGACCCUAUAGAACUUUAUUUUCUAUAUAUAUAUAUUUUAUAGAUUUUUAAAAUAUUAUAUAUUAGUAGUUAAUUUAAUUGGGGUGAUUGAAAAAAUUAUAUAACUUUUUCUAUUUUUAUCAUUUAUUUAUGAUGUUUUUUGAUCCUUUAAUAUGGAAAAUAAGAUUAAGUUACCUUAGG
rnacentral:rRNA from 1 species